GCGCAACCGCAGUGAAAGCGAGCCUGAACAGGGCGUCGAGUCAGAGGGGGUAGACGCGAAACCAAGUGAUCUACACUUGUCCAGGUUGAAGUCCCGGUAACACGGGAUGGAGGACCGAACCAAUAAGCGUUGAAAAGCUUCUGGAUGAGAUGAGUGUAGGAGUGAAAGGCCAAUCAAACUUGGAGAUAGCUCGUACUCCCCGAAAGGCAUUUAGGUGCCGCGUCGGAUGGUCACCGUGAGAGGUAGAGCGACCGAUAGGACAAGAGGGCUUCACCGCCUAUCGAGUCCUGACGAACUCCGAAUGCUCACGGUUUGCAGUCCGGCAGUAAGGGGGCGGGUGCUAAGGUCCGUCCCCGAGAGGAGAAGAAUCCAGACCGCCGUCUAAGGUCCCGGAAUUCUGUCUAAGUUAGUCUAACGAAGUGGGGUCUCAGUGACAGCCAGGAUGUUGGCUUGGAAGCAGCCAUUCAUUCAAAGAGUGCGUAACAGCUCACUGGUCGAGAGUCCCUGCAUGGAUAAUAAUCGGGUAUAAGGCAGAUACCGAAGGCGCGGGAUAGCAUUAAAAAAAGUAUCGGUAGGGGAGCAUUCCAUAUCCGUCGAAUGGUGCGGGUAACCUAUCCUGGAGGAUAUGGAAAAGCAAAUGUAGGUAUAAGUAACGAUAAGGAGGGUAAGAUUCCCUCCCGCCGCAAGACUAAGGUUUCCCGGGCAAUGUCAAUCAUCCCGGGGUCAGUCGGGUCCUAAGUCUCAGCCGAACGGCGAGGGCGAUGGCAGACACGGUCAACAUUCCGUGACUACCGUGGGCAGCGAUGCGGAGACGGAGCAGUGAAACUUCCGCGAACCGACGGAAUGGUUCGUUAAAGAGUGUAGGUGUUGAUUCUGG
rnacentral:rRNA from 1 species